rnacentral:rRNA from 1 species
UACGUAGGGCGCUAGCGUUGUUCGGAAUCAUUGGGCGUAAAGCGCGUGUAGGCGGUUAGUUAAGUCGGGUGUGAAAUCCCUGGGCUCAACCGAGGAAGUGCAUCCGAAACUAACUAGCUAGAGAAUGGUAGAGGAAGGUGGAAUUCCGUGUGUAGAGGUGAAAUUCGUAGAUAUACGGAGGAAUACCGGUGGCGAAGGCGGCCUUCUGGACCAUUUCUGACGCUGAGACGCGAAAGCGUGGGGAGCAAACAGG